UUGCCCAAACUAAACUAAUAGGAUUUACCUAUUAACAAACUCAGGUAAUGUAGUGUUAAAAAGCAGAGCACUGAAAAUGCUUAGAUGGGCACUUAUCCCAUAAAAAUAAA
ensembl:miRNA Mir6481 microRNA 6481